GUCCCUGUAGUGCAAAGGAUAGCGCGUUGGACUUUUAUUCCAAAAUGUGGGUUCAAAUCCCACCGGGGUCU